rnacentral:rRNA from 1 species
UACGGGGGGAGCAAGCGUUGUUCGGAUUUACUGGGCGUAAAGCGCGCGUAGGCGGGUUGGCAAGUCUGCUGUGAAAGCCCGGGGCUUAACUCCGGAGGGUCGGUGGAUACUGCCAGUCUUGAAGGUGCUAGGGAGAGAUGGAAUUACAGGUGUAGCGGUGAAAUGCGUAGAUAUCUGUAGGAACACCAGUGGCGAAGGCGGUCUCUUGGGGCAUUCUUGACGCUGAGGCGCGAAAGCUGGGGGAGCGAACGGG